CUUUCGUUUUAUGACUUUUUUUAUCUAUACUUUACUUUGGUUCAUUAAGUGAGUAAUGCUACCUUAUCGCAUGCUUUUAGAAAUUCCCCCUUUUUUUCAAGCACCUAUUAUUUUGGCUAUAUUUUUGUAUUUGUUCGCUGGAAAUUUGUACAUUUUCAAAAUUUAUCAAAUCAACUAUACGACUGCCUUUGGCUUAACUUCUCAUAACACGAUUGGUGCCUUUAAGUUAUUCAACGUCGCUACUAUUUUCUGCGGCUUCUUUUUCCUUUGCUUAUUUUUUUACACUCAAUCUAUUCUUGUGGAUAAAAAAAGUCUUCUAGUCGACUUUUUUCCUUCCGUCUUCUACAUUACCGUGUUAAUUUCCUUCAUACUUCCAACGAAUUUUUUUUACGGGCCCCAGCGGCGCUACUUUUUAGAUUUACUGUGCAAGGUUUUUUUUCCUUUUCGACUUUCCAUAACGUUUCAAGAAGUUUUUUUAGCGGACGGCCUCACUUCUCUCUCUAAAGUUCUGGCCGACUUGGAACUGAUCAUCUGCUCCAUCUUCUC